CAGCCGCCGCGGUAAUACGUAGGGUGCGAGCGUUAAUCGGAAUUACUGGGCGUAAAGCGCACGUAGGCGGAUUUUUAAGUCAGGGGUGAAAUCCCGAGGCUCAACCUCGGAACUGCCUUUGAUACUGGAGAUCUUGAGUUCGGAAGAGGUUGGUGGAACAGCUAGUGUAGAGGUGAAAUUCGUAGAUAUUAGCUAGAACACCAGUGGCGAAGGCGGCCAACUGGUCCGACACUGACGCUGAGGUGCGAAAGCGUGGGGAGCAAACAGGAUUAGAUACCCCUGUAGUCCCUGUCUCUUAUAC
rnacentral:rRNA from 1 species